rnacentral:rRNA from 1 species
GAUGAACGCUGGCGGCGUGCCUAAUACAUGCAAGUCGAGCGGUAACACUUCGGGUGACGAGCGGCGGACGGCUGAGUAACACGUAGGAACGUACCCCAAAGUGAGGGAUAAGCACCAGAAAUGGUGUCUAAUACCGCAUGUGCUCUUCGGAGUAAAGCUUCGGCGCUUUGGGAACGGCCUGCGCAUGAUUAGCUUGUUGGUGAGGUAAAAGCUCACCAAGGCGACGAUCAUUAGCUGGUCUGAGAGGAUGAUCAGCCAGACUGGAACUGAGAACGGUCCAGACUCCUACGGGAGGCUG